rnacentral:snoRNA from 1 species
CCCCUCUAAGGAUGGCACCUGGAGAGUUUCCAGUUCUCUACCAGUCUCCACUAGGGUAGGGAGAGUCAAGCAGAGACAUACCCAUUCCACUCCUAACUUGGGCAGUGACUAGUGAGUGGAAGGCAAUCUGCUACAAAU